GACAUAGGUCGCAAACGUUAUCCGGAAUUAUUGGGCGUAAAGGAUGCGUAGAUGGUUCAGUAAGUUACUGGUGGGAAAUCGAGGCCCAACCUCGUGGAAGUUAGUAAUACUGUUGAACUUGAGUGCAGGAGAGGUUAACGGAACUUCAUGUGGAGCGGUAAAAUGCGUAGAUAUAUGAAAGAACAUCAAUAUAGCGAAGGCAGUUAACUAUUCUGCUACUGACAUUGAGGCGUGAAAGCGUGGGGAGCAAAACGG
rnacentral:rRNA from 1 species